rnacentral:rRNA from 1 species
UGAGGGAUCUUGCACAAUGGGGGCAACCCUGAUGCAGCGACGCCGCGUGGGCGAUGAAGGUCUUCGGAUCGUAAAGCCCUUUUCCAGGUGACGAGUAAGGACGGUAGCCUGGGAAGAAGUCUCGGCUAACUACGUGCCAGCAGCCGCGGUAAAACGUAGGAGGCGAGCGUUAUCCGGAGUUACUGGGCGUAAAGCGCAAGCAGGCGGUUGGGCAAGUUGGGUGUGAAAGCGUGCGGCUAAACUGCACGAGGCCAUUCAAGACUGCCCGGCUGGAGGACGGUAGAGGGGCGCAGAAUUCGGGGUGUAGCGGUGAAAUGUGUAGAGAUCCCGAGGAAUACCAGUGGGGAAGCCGGCGCCCUGGGCCGUACCUGACGCUGAGAUGCGAAAGCGUGGGGAGCGAACGGG